CAGUCGCCGCGGUAACACAGAGGGUGCGAGCGUUAAUCGGAUUUACUGGGCGUAAAGCGUGCGUAGGCGGCUUCUUAAGUCGGAUGUGAAAUCCCUGAGCUUAACUUAGGAAUUGCAUUCGAUACUGGGAAGCUAGAGUAUGGGAGAGGAUGGUAGAAUUCCAGGUGUAGCGGUGAAAUGCGUAGAGAUCUGGAGGAAUACCGAUGGCGAAGGCAGCCAUCUGGCCUAAUACUGACGCUGAGGUACGAAAGCAUGGGGAGCAAACAGGAUUAGAUACCCCUGUAGUCCCUGUCUCUUAUAC
rnacentral:rRNA from 1 species